rnacentral:rRNA from 1 species
CCUACGGGUGGCAGCAGUGGGGAAUAUUGGACAAUGGGCGCAAGCCUGAUCCAGCAAUGCCGCGUGUGUGAAGAAGGCCUUCGGGUUGUAAAGCACUUUCAGUAGGGAAGAAAAGCAUGGCUCUAAUACAGCUCUGUGCUGACGUUACCUACAGAAGAAGCACCGGCUAACUCCGUGCCAGCAGCCGCGGUAAUACGGAGGGGGCUAGCGUUGUUCGGAAUUACUGGGCGUAAAGCGCUCGUAGGCGGAUUGGUCAGUCAGAGGUGAAAGCCCAGGGCUCAACCUUGGAAUUGCCUUUGAUACUGCCAGUCUUGAGUUCGGGAGAGGUGAGCGGAAUUCCGAGUGUAGAGGUGAAAUUCGUAGAUAUUCGGAGGAACACCAGAGGCGAAGGCGGCUCACUGGACCGAUACUGACGCUGAGGAGCGAAAGCGUGGGGAGCA